rnacentral:rRNA from 1 species
CCCUUAGAUGUUCUGGGCCGCACGCGUGCUACACUGAGUGGAUCAGCGGGUCAGGUUGCGCGAAAGCGUUUCCUAAUCUUUAAAUCCGCUCGUGAUGGGGAUUGACGGUUGCAAUUUUCUGUCAUGAACGAGGAAUUCCCAGUAAGCGCGAGUCAUAAGCUCGCGUUGAUUACGUCCCUGCCCUUUGUACACACCGCCCGUCGCUACUACCGAUUGAACGGUUUAGUGAGGGCCUCGGAUUGGUCUCGGCCCGCUCUUUACCGGGCGGCGCCGUUGGUCGAGAAGACGCUCGAACUUGAUCGUUUAGAGGAAGUAAAAGUCGUAACA